UACGUAGGGUGCGAGCGUUUGUCCGGAAUUACUGGGCGUAAAGAGCUCGUAGGUGGUUUGUCGCGUUUGUUCGUGAAAACCCGGGGGCUUAACCCUCGGCGUGCGGGGCGAUACGGGCAGACUGGAGUACUGCAGGGGAGACUGGAACUCCUGGUGUAGCGGUGGAAUGCGCAGAUAUCAGGAGGAACACCGGUGGCGAAGGCGGGUCUCUGGGCAGUAACUGACGCUGAGGAGCGAAAGCGUGGGGAGCGAACAGG
rnacentral:rRNA from 1 species